GAUGAACGCUGGCGGCGUGCUUAACACAUGCAAGUCGAACGAAGCACUUUAUUUGAUUUCCUUCGGGACUGAUUAUUUUGUGACUGAGUGGCGGACGGGUGAGUAACGCGUGGGUAACCUGCCUUGUACAGGGGGAUAACAGUUGGAAACGGCUGCUAAUACCGCAUAAGCGCACAGCAUCGCAUGAUGCAGUGUGAAAAACUCCGGUGGUAUAAGAUGGACCCGCGUUGGAUUAGCUAGUUGGUGAGGUAACGGCCCACCAAGGCGACGAUCCAUAGCCGACCUGAGAGGGUGACCGGCCACAGUGGGACUGAGACACGGCCCAAACUCCUACGGGAGGCAGCAGUGGGGAAUAUUGCACAAUGGGCGAAAGCCUGAUGCAGCGACGCCGCGUGAGCGAAGAAGUAUUUCGGUAUGUAAAGCUCUAUCAGCAGGGAAGAUAAUGACGGUACCUGACUAAGAAGCACCGGCUGAAUACGUG
rnacentral:rRNA from 1 species